GACGAACGCUGGCGGCGUGCUUAACACAUGCAAGUCGAACGGUAAGGCCCUUCGGGUACACGAGUGGCGAACGGGUGAGUAACACGUGGGUGAUCUGCCCUGCACUUCGGGAUAAGCUUGGGAAACUGGGUCUAAUACCGGAUAGGACCACGGUCUGCAUGGAUUGUGGUGGAAAGCUUUUGCGGUGUGGGAUGGGCCCGCGGCCUAUCAGCUUGUUGGUGGGGUGAUGGCCUACCAAGGCGACGACGGGUAGCCGGCCUGAGAGGGUGUCCGGCUACACUGGGACUGAGAUACGGCCCAGACUCCUACGGGAGGCAGCAGUGGGGGAAUAUUGCACAAUGGGCGCAAGCCUGAUGCAGCGACGCCGCGUGGGGGGAUGACGGCCUCGGGUUGGUUAAACCUACUUUCUAGUAGGGACGGAAGCGUAAGUGACGGUACCGUAUAGAAGAAGACACCGGCCAACUAACGUGCCAGCAGCCGCGGUAAU
rnacentral:rRNA from 1 species